UGUGAUCCUCCUGCCUCAGCCUCCCACGUGCUGGGAUUACAGACUUGGGGUCAUUGCUGGGCAGCCGAGGAUGACUUCUUCACUACAGAGACCAGGAUGAGAAGGGCUAUCCAGGUACCCUGGACAUAGGGGGAAGUGUCCGUCACCUACCAGGCCAACAAUCCUCAGCAGCCCAGAGUGAGGCACAUGGAGAGUAUUCAGAAAUGACUACUGAAUUCACACAGUCACCUGGGCAAGACUGCACUACUGCAAACCCACCUACGUUUUCUCUAAAGGUCUGAGAUACACCAGCCAUAGACUGCAGGGAUGAAAUCCCAGGAGCUGAGAAGGAAGAAGGAGAGGCAAACAAUUACCACGAGGCUCCCCAUAUAC